CCUACGGGAGGCAGCAGUGGGGGAUAUUGCACAAUGGGGGAAACCCUGAUGCAGCGACGCCGCGUGUGGGAAGACGGUCCUCUGGAUUGUAAACCACUGUCCCCAGGGACGAAGAUGACGGUACCUGGGGAGGAAGCUCCGGCUAACUACGUGCCAGCAGCCGCGGCACUACGUAGGGAGCGAGCGUUGUCCGGAAUUACUGGGUGUAAAGGGAGCGUAGGCGGGACUGCAAGUUGGGUGUCAAAUCUACCGGCUCAACCGGUAGCCGCACUGAAAACUGCAGUUCUUGAGUGAAGUAGAGGCAGGCGGAAGUCCUAGUGUAGCGGUGAAAGGCGUAGAUAUUAGGAGGAACACCAGUGGCGAAGGCGGCCUGCUGGGCUUUUACUGACGCUGAGGCUCGAAAGUGUGGGGAGCAAACAGGAUUAGAUACCCGAGUAGUC
rnacentral:rRNA from 1 species